rnacentral:rRNA from 1 species
GACGAACGCUGGCGGCGUGCUUAACACAUGCAAGUCGAACGGAAAGGCCCUGCUUUUGUGGGGUGCUCGAGUGGCGAACGGGUGAGUAACACGUGAGUAACCUGCCCUUGACUUUGGGAUAACUUCAGGAAACUGGGGCUAAUACUGGAUAGGAGCUCCUGCUGCAUGGUGGGGGUUGGAAAGUUUCGGCGGUUGGGGAUGGGCUCGCGGCUUAUCAGCUUGUUGGUGGGGUAGUGGCUUACCAAGGCUUUGACGGGUAGCCGGCCUGAGAGGGUGACCGGCCACAUUGGGACUGAGAUACGGCCCAGACUCCUACGGGAGGCAGCAGUGGGGAAUAUUGCACAAUGGGCGGAAGCCUGAUGCAGCAACGCCGCGUGCGGGAUGACGGCCUUCGGGUUGUAAACCGCUUUCGCCUGUGACGAAGCGUGAGUGACGGUAAUGGGUAAAGAAGCACCGGCUAACUACGUGCCAGCAGCCGCGGUGAUACGUAGGGUGCGAGCGUUGUCCGGAUUUAUUGGGCGUAAAGGGCUCGUAGGUGGUUGAUCGCGUCGGAAGUGUAAUCUUGGGGCUUAACCCUGAGCGUGCUUUCGAUACGGGUUGACUUGAGGAAGGUAGGGGAGAAUGGAAUUCCUGGUGGAGCGGUGGAAUGCGCAGAUAUCAGGAGGAACACCAGUGGCGAAGGCGGUUCUCUGGGCCUUUCCUGACGCUGAGGAGCGAAAGCGUGGGGAGCGAACAGGCUUAGAUACCCUGGUAGUCCACGCUGUAAACGGUGGGUACUAGGUGUGGGGUCCAUUCCACGGGUUCCGUGCCGUAGCUAACGCUUUAAGUACCCCGCCUGGGGAGUACGGCCGCAAGGCUAAAACUCAAAGGAAUUGACGGGGCCCCGCACAAGCGGCGGAGCAUGCGGAUUAAUUCGAUGCAACGCGUAGAACCUUACCUGGGUUUGACAUGGAUCGGGAGCGCUCAGAGAUGGGUGUGCCUCUUUUGGGGUCGGUUCACAGGUGGUGCAUGGCUGUCGUCAGCUCGUGUCGUGAGAUGUUGGGUUAAGUCCCGCAACGAGCGCAACCCUUGUUCACUGUUGCCAGCACGUUAUGGUGGGGACUCAGUGGAGACCGCCGGGGUCAACUCGGAGGAAGGUGGGGAUGACGUCAAGUCAUCAUGCCCCUUAUGUCCAGGGCUUCACGCAUGCUACAAUGGCUGGUACAGAGAGUGGCGAGCCUGUGAGGGUGAGCGAAUCUCGGAAAGCCGGUCUCAGUUCGGAUUGGGGUCUGCAACUCGACCUCAUGAAGUCGGAGUCGCUAGUAAUCGCAGAUCAGCAACGCUGCGGUGAAUACGUUCCCGGG